CAGCCGCCGCGGUAAUACAGAGGAUGCAAGCGUUAUCCGGAAUGAUUGGGCGUAAAGCGUCUGUAGGUGGCUUUUCAAGUCCGCCGUCAAAUCCCAGGGCUCAACCCUGGACAGGCGGUGGAAACUACCAAGCUGGAGUACGGUAGGGGCAGAGGGAAUUUCCAGUGGAGCGGUGAAAUGCGUUGAGAUCGAAAAGAACACCAACAGCGAAAGCACUCUGCUGGGACGACACUGACACUAAGAGACGAAAGCUAGGGGAGCAAAUGGGAUUAGAUACCCCAGUAGUCCCUGUCUCUUAUAC
rnacentral:rRNA from 1 species